GUAUAAUACCCGAUAGGUCUCGAUUGCUGGAAUGCAUCGAGAUUUAAAGCUCCGGCGCCUAAGGAUGGGUCUGCGGCCUAUCAGGUAGUAGUGGGUGUAGCGUACCUACUAGCCUACGACGGGUACGGGUUGUGAGAGCAAGAGCCCGGGGAUGGAUUCUGAGACACGAAUCCAGGCCCUACGGGGUGCAGCAGGCGCGAAAACUUUACAAUGCUGGCAACAGCGAUAAGGGAACCUCGAGUGCCAGGUUACAAAUCUGGCUGUCGAGAUGCCUAAAAAGCAUUUCAUAGCAAGGGCCGGGCAAGACCGGUGCCAGCCGCCGCGGUAACACCGGCGGCUCGAGUGGUAACCGUUAUUAUUGGGUCUAAAGGGUCUGUAGCCGGCCGGAUAAGCCUCUUGAGAAAUCUGGCAGCUUAACUGUCAGGCUUUCAGGAGAUACUGUCUGGCUCGAGGCCGGGAGAGGUGAGAGGUACUUCAGGGGUAGGGGUGAAAUCUUGUAAUCCUUGAAGGACCACCAGUGGCGAAGGCGUCUCACCAGAACGGACCUGACGGCAAGGGACGAAAGCUAGGGGCACGAACCGGAUUAGAUACCCGGGUAGUCCUAGCCGUAAACGAUACUCGCUAGGUGUCGGCCACGGUGCGACCGUUGUCGGUGCCGUAGGGAAGCCGUGAAGCGAGCCACCUGGGAAGUACGGCCGCAAGGCUGAAACUUAAAGGAAUUGGCGGGGGAGCACCACAACGGGUGGAGCUUGCGGUUUAAUUGGAUUCAACGCCGGAAAUCUUACCGGGACCGACAGCAAUAUGAAGGCCAGGCUGAAGACUUUGCCGGAUUAGCUGAGAGGUGGUGCAUGGCCGUCGUCAGUUCGUACUGUGAAGCAUCCUGUUAAGUCAGGCAACGAGCGAGACCA
rnacentral:rRNA from 1 species